rnacentral:rRNA from 1 species
ACGCUCGACACCUGGAGGCAGCAGUUGGGAAUAUUGGACAAUGGAGGAAACUCUGAUCCAGUGACGCCGCGUGAAGGAAGAAGGUCUUCGGAUUGUAAACUUAUUUUGUCAGGGAAGAAAAAUGACUGUACCUGAAGAAAAAGCACCGGCUAACUACGUGCCGGCAGCGCGAGUAUNGNGGCGNGNGAGAG